rnacentral:rRNA from 1 species
GAUGAACGCUGGCGGCGUGCCUAAUACAUGCAAGUCGAGCGAACGGACGAGAAGCUUGCUUCUCUGAUGUUAGCGGCGGACGGGUGAGUAACACGUGGAUAACCUACCUAUAAGACUGGGAUAACUUCGGGAAACCGGAGCUAAUACCUGAUAAUAUUUUGAACCGCAUGGUUCAAAAGUGAAAGACGGUCUUGCUGUCACUUAUAGAUGGAUCCGCGCUGCAUUAGCUAGUUGGUAAGGUAACGGCUUACCAAGGCAACGAUGCAUAGCCGACCUGAGAGGGGGAUGGGCCACACUGGAACUGAGACACGGUCAAGACUCCUACGGGAGGCAGCAGUAGGGAAUCUUCAGCAAUGGGCGAAAGCCUGACGGAGCAACGCCGCGUGAGUGAUGAAGGUCUUCGGAUCGUAAAACUCUGUUAUUAGGGAAGAACAUAUGUGUAAGUAACUGUGCACAUCUUGACGGUACCUAAUCAGAAAGCCACGGCUAACUACGUG